ensembl:snoRNA SNORA84 small nucleolar RNA, H/ACA box 84
GCCCCGUGGUUCCCGGACGCCGCGUGUCAGUCGGGCUGUCCGGGCUGGGAAAGGGCCGAGAGGAAGCAGGCCCAGUGAUGUAAGCGUGGGGGCUGCGCCUCCCGGCAGCCCCCACAGCCCGGUCACUGGCACAGGC